rnacentral:rRNA from 1 species
GAUGAACGCUAGCUACAGGCUUAACACAUGCAAGUCGAGGGGCAGCAUUAUCGAAGCUUGCUUUGAUAGAUGGCGACCGGCGCACGGGUGAGUAACGCGUAUCCAACCUUCCCCAUAGUCAGGAAUAGCCCGGCGAAAGUCGAAUUAAUGCCUGAUGUUUUCCACGGACGGCAUCCGAUGUGGAACAAAGAUUCAUCGCUAUGGGAUGGGGAUGCGUCUGAUUAGCUUGUUGGCGGGGUAACGGCCCACCAAGGCAACGAUCAGUAGGGGUUCUGAGAGGAAGGUCCCCCACAUUGGAACUGAGACACGGGUCCAAACUCCUACGGGAGGCAGCAGUGAGGAAUAUUGGUCAAUGGGCGGAAGCCUGAACCAGCCAAGUAGCGUGAGGGAUGACUGCCCUAUGGGUUGUAAACCUCUUUUAUAGGGGGAUAAAGUGUGUCACGUGUGGCAUAUUGCAGGUACCCUAUGAAUAAGGACCGGCUAA